rnacentral:rRNA from 1 species
AGUGAACGCUGGCGGCAGGCCUAACACAUGCAAGUCGAACGGUAGCACAGAGGAGCUUGCUCCUUGGGUGACGAGUGGCGGACGGGUGAGGAAUAUAUCGGAAUCUACCCUUUCGUGGGGGAUAACGUAGGGAAACUUACGCUAAUACCGCAUACGAACUGAGGUUGAAAGCGGCGGACCGCAAGGCGUCGCGCGGAUGGAUGAGCCGAUAUCCGAUUAGCUAGUUGGCGGGGUAAUGGCCCACCAAGGCGACGAUCGGUAGCUGGUCUGAGAGGAUGAUCAGCCACACUGGAACUGAGACACGGUCCAGACUCCUACGGGAGGCAGCAGUGGGGAAUAUUGGACAAUGGGCGCAAGCCUGAUCCAGCCAUGCCGCGUGUGUGAAGAAGGCCUUCGGGUUGUAAAGCACUUUUGUUGGGAAAGAAAAGC